rnacentral:sRNA from 1 species
GUUAAUUAGUUAUCCUAAUGAGCUUAAUUAACUUAAUAGUCCCACUGCAGGCGAUGCUACCAGGCAGCCAGGGUGGAGAGCCCUGUGCUGUGAAGUCCUUACUCACAGGUUCUGGGGCCACUGUAUGUGCCCUGGGGGUAGCCCUAGGUGUUGGUCUUGAACUGCUUGCAUCAGGCUCAUGUGCGAGGGAAUAGCAGCCAUCUGGGUGAUGGCUACCCAUGUUUGCAGAUGGCAGUCUCUUAACACAGUGUAACCUUGAGGAUGGCCAGGAGGGAAGUGAAUAGAAGCCUUGUCUGAGAGUGCUUUAAUCUGUUACUAACAUUAAUAAUCUGUUAAUAAUUAAUAAUCUGGACUAACACUCAGGGAGUGUCAGUGAAUGUUAUGAGUUCCAAGAACAAGCCCAUGCCUGCAUGGGAGGAAUCCCCUGUUUCAGGAAAGCAAUGCCCUUGGCUGGACUGCAGACUCCACGUGCAGUACAGACCAGAGACAUGGGUGUGGCGAUCCUGCCUUUUAAGAUGGGGCUCAUUAACUAGUGUAUGCACGUGUAGGCUUAUGCCAUUGGUUGGCAUAAAUGCACUGCUUGGAGGAUUCAGGUUCCUCUUUAAUUGAAGAUUCCGAGAACCAAAAUAUGGGGCCACUUUGCUUUGCUGUUGUGGCCUCUUUGGAAGAUGAAUCUUCUUUUGUAUAUACUAGCAGAGCUGUGCUAACAGGCUCUUUCUGUAAAGUGGGGAAUCUUUUUGGUAGUGUAAACACACACUCUAUACUCUUCCUAUUUCAGUAUAUGUCUGUAAAUACUUCUGGUAUUUCUUGAUAUUGAUGCCUUCCUUGGCAUAGUGGUUGUUCUCAGAUAUAAGUUGUGCUUUGAUCAACUUUUUUUUUUUUUUUUUUUGAGAUGGAGUCUCACUCUGUCACCCAGGGUGGAGUGCAGUGGCACUAUCUUGGUUCACUGCAACCUCUGCCUCCUGGGUUCAAGCGAUUCUCCUGCAUUAGCCUCCCGAGUAGCUGGGACUACAGGCACGUGCCACCAUGCCUGGGUAAUUUUUGUAUUUUUAGUAGAGAUGGGGUUUCACCAUGUUGGUCAGGCUGGUCUUGAACUCCUGACCUCAUGAUCCGCCCACCUCAGCCUCCCAAAGUGCUGGGAUUACAGGUGUAAGCCACCAUGCCUGCCUUUUUAAAAAAAAACAAAAAACAACAAAAAACAAAAAAAAAACAGAAUCUUGCUCUGUUGCCCAGGCUGGAGUGCAAUGGCACGAUCUCGGCUCACUGCAGAGCGAUUCUCCUGCGUCAGCCUCUGAAGUAGCUGGGGCCACAGGCAUGUGCCACCAUGCCUGGCUAAUUUUUGUAUUUUUAGUAGAGAUGGGGUUUCACCAUAUUGGCCAGCUGGUCUUGAACUCCUGACCUCAAGUGAUUCACCUGCCUCGGCCUCUCAAAGUGCUUGGAUUACAGGUGUGAGCCAGCGCGCCCGGCCUCAUUGACUUUCUUUAUUGGCUACGGGUGCUGGGGACACAGGGACCUGGUCAUGCACUGAUGAUGUUGCCCUUUCUCUCCCGUGAAAUGCAGUGGUCCUAUUGGCUACUGAAGGUUUUUGCCAUUUUUUUUUUUAGAGACAGGGUCUCACUCGUGCCCAGGCUGGAAUGCAGUGGUGCAAGCAUAGCUCACUCCAACCUUGAACUCCUGGGCUCAAGCAAUCCUCCCACCUCAGCCUCCAGAGUAGCUGGGACUACAGGCACCCACCACCAUGCCUGCUGGUUUUUGCCUUUUGGAUGAUCAAUGAUGACUUUUUCCUCCUGCUUUCAGGGUGUGCUGGACCGGUUUUCUCAAAUUCAGCCAAAGCUCAUCUUCUCUGUGGAGGCUGUUGUCUAUAAUGGCAAAGAGCACAACCACAUGGAAAAGCUGCAGCAGGUGGUUAAAGGCCUACCAGACUUGAAGAAAGUGGUGGUGAUUCCUUAUGUGUCCUCCAGAGAGAACAUAGACCUUUCAAAGAUUCCAAACAGUGUGUUUCUGGAUGACUUUCUUGCCACCGGCACCAGUGAGCAGGCCCCGCAGCUGGAGUUCGAGCAGCUGCCCUUCAGCCACCCACUGUUCAUCAUGUUCUCAUCGGGCACCACGGGCGCACCCAAGUGCAUGGUGCAUUCCGCUGGGGGCACCCUCAUCCAGCAUCUGAAGGAACACCUGCUGCACGGCAACAUGACCAGCAGUGACAUCCUCCUGUGCUACACCACGGUCGGCUGGAUGAUGUGGAACUGGAUGGUGUCCCUUCUGGCCACAGGAGCGGCCAUGGUCUUGUACGAUGGCUCCCCCCUGGUGCCCACGCCCAAUGUGCUCUGGGACCUGGUUGACAGGAUAGGCAUCACUGUCCUGGUAACUGGGGCCAAGUGGCUGUCAGUGCUGGAAGAGAAGGCCAUGAAGCCGGUGGAAACCCACAGUCUCCAGAUGCUCCACACGAUCCUGUCCACUGGCUCCCCACUGAAAGCCCAGAGCUACGAGUAUGUCUACAGGUGCAUCAAGAGCAGCAUCCUCCUGGGCUCCAUCUCAGGUAUGGCCCCGG